GACGAACGCUGGCGGCGUGCUUAACACAUGCAAGUCGAACGGAAAGGCCCUGCUUUUGUGGGGUGCUCGAGUGGCGAACGGGUGAGAAUACGUUAGUUACCUGCCCUUGAAUUUGGGAUAACUUCAGGAAACUGGGGCUAAUACCGGAUAGGAGCUCCUGCCGCAUGGUGGGGGUUGGAAAGGUUCGGCGGUUGGGGAUGGACUCGCGGCCUAUCAGCUUGUUGGUGGGGUAGUGGCCUACCAAGGCUUUGACGGGUAGCCGGCCUGAGAGGGUGACCGGCCACAUUGGGACUGAGAUACGGCCCAGACUCCUACGGGAGGCAGCAGUGGGGAAUAUUGCACAAUGGGCGGAAGCCUGAUGCAGCAACGCCGCGUGCGGGAUGACGGCCUUCGGGUUGUAAACCGCUUUCGCCUGUGACGAAGCGUGAGUGACGGUAAUGGGUAAAGAAGCACCGGCUAACUACGUG
rnacentral:rRNA from 1 species